rnacentral:lncRNA from 1 species
CAAAAUCUAUACCUAUUCCUGGACCACCGAGAAUGGUGGACUCCCCCCUCGCUUGGCUGCCAGGGCCUUCCGGGGAGGGAGCCUGCCGGCCACCCGGAAGUGACCGGUACUGUCUGGGGGGUGUUGGAGCUGCAGGUCAGCGGCGGAAUCGGUCGUACAAAGUGCAAGGGCGCAGGACCCGAGCGCUGCCUCCCGCCGCCGGGCUGGCCUGCGGGGCGCCCCGGGCGGCUGCAGGCUGUUGGGCCCUCUUGGGGCCAGUGCUGGGUGCUUGAAGAGGGUGUGAGAAAGAAGUCCUCUCCUCUGCUUGGCUUGGGCAAGGCUCAAGAUGUAGAUGUGCUGCCCUGCGAAUCCCUUUGCCCACGGAACUGAUGUCGACGAGACCCGUUGAAAGGUCAGCAUUACUGUGUCCCUUGCCCAGCUUCCCAUGGUGUGCCACACUUCCUGCCCUACACAGGAUAAAGUAGAAUAAAGUCUGUUAUUCAGAAGCUUCA